CAUAACAACUCCUUCCGGGGCUUGGGGCUUGUUAUCGAGGUGUCCCAUCGUAGUGCAGAACUUUGGGGCCAUCAGGCCCACUAAUAAAAUAUAUUAAAAGCCCUAAAUGUAGGGUAUCAUUCCCACUUUUCCCUUCUUGUUUCCUUCUUCGACUCGCUAAUACCGUGCAUCUCUCGUCCAUUUUUCGUUGGACAAGUAACCUGAACCUCCCUCCAUUUUACGUUGGUUCGACGUGUUCCUUGGCACCUUCCUUAAUGAUUGCAUCAAUUAAAGCACCGAUUCAAAGAGGUAAAACCGGUUCCGGCAGCGUUGAAGGGUUUCUGCACUUUCUUCCAUCUUCAAGAGCGUUUUCGCCCUAUACUGUGAGAUCUACAUGGGAGAAAGAACACACAUCUAUUACGUGAUGACAAGGCAGUCGAAGAGUUUGAAAGUGACCACAAUCACACCACCAAUCAUUUAAUUUAACCGUAGAAGACAUUGGUAGGCGGUCAUCAUGUGGAGAAAACAUCUCUUGAACUUCAAAUUCAUUAUUUUCUUUUGAAUAUCAACGGACUUGGCACAAUCUCGCUUGUUGUUGAUUUUUUUUCUAAUAAUACCAUUAAUUUCCUCGGGAUAUUGGUGAUCUGCU